GACAGAGGGUGCAAACGUUGUUCGGAAUUACUGGGCGUAAAGCGAGUGUAGGCGGUCCGAUAAGUCGGGUGUGAAAGCCCUGGGCUCAACCCAGGAAGUGCACUCGGAACUGACGGGCUAGAGUAUCGGAGAGGUUGGUGGAAUUCUCGGUGUAAGGAGGUAGUAAGUUAGAUAUCGAGAGGAACACCGGUGGCGAAAGGCGGCCAACUGGACGAAUACUGACGCUGAGACUCGAAAGCGUGGGGAGCAAACAGGA
rnacentral:rRNA from 1 species